UUAAUGGUGGCAGAAGUCAUGCGUAGGCUUUAAGAGCCUCUUAUGGGUUUCCCCUCAUUAAU
rnacentral:tRNA from 1 species